GACAGAGGAUGCAAGCGUUAUCCGGAAUGAUUGGGCGUAAAGCGUCUGUAGGUGGCUUUUUAAGUCCGCCGUCAAAUCCCAGGGCUCAACCCUGGACAGGCGGUGGAAACUACCAAGCUGGAGUACGGUAGGGGCAGAGGGAAUUUCCGGUGGAGCGGUGAAAUGCGUAGAGAUCGGAAAGACACCAACGGCGAAAGCACUCUGCUGGGCCGACACUGACACUGAGGAGCGAAAGCGUGGGGAGCGAACAGG
rnacentral:rRNA from 1 species